AGAAAGUUUGGUUCCAGCUUCAAUACUAAUUUUAUAGAUUAUGAUACAUGUAAAUCAAUAGAUACUCCAGCAUAAUAUUUUUAACAAAAAAAUUAGUUAAAAAUUACUUAAUAAGCUAAAAGCUAUUAAAAAUAAAUUUUGCGUCUUCAGUACUUAAUAUUGUUCAAUUUAAUAACUUAAGAAACAGAAAACUAUAUAAAUGGUGGUUAAUAACGUGCCAGCAACCGCGGUUAUACGUUAGCCAUAAAUAAUUAUUGCUCGGUAAAAAUAAAUAGAUUACACUCUUUCUAUAUUUUAUAAACAUUUUCUAGCAGUAACAAGCUUAAUUUUAUAAUAAAAAUAUUAAUUUAUCUAAUUAAAAAAAAAAAGAAUUAAACUGGGAUUAGAUACCCCACUAUACUUUUUUAUAACAUCAAAUACCAGAGUAUUAUGAUUUAAGAUUAAAACUUAAAGAACUUGGCGAUUUUUUAUACCUACUCGGAGGAGCUUGUUAUUAAAUUGAUUUUCCACAAGAUACCUAACCUUUCUUUGUAAAUCAGCUUGUAUACCAUCGUCGCCAGCUUACUUUUAAAAAUAAAAGCAAAAAGAAUUAUCUUCAUAACGUCAGAUCAAGGUGCAGCCUAUAGAAAGGGGAUACAUGAGCUACUUUUCCAAAUAAAUGUGAGGAAAGAAAAAUGAAAAAAUUUUUGAAAAAGGAUUCGACAGUAAUUUAUUAUAGAAAUAUUAAAUAAAAAAGCUCUAAAAUACGCACAUAUCGCCCGUCACUCUCGUCAAAUGAGGAGAAAAGUCGUAACAAAGUAGGCCUACCGGAAGGUGUGCCUGGUAAACU
rnacentral:ncRNA from 2 species